GAUGAACGCUGGCGGCGUGCCUAAUACAUGCAAGUCGAGCGAACAGACGAGGAGCUUGCUCCUCUGACGUUAGCGGCGGACGGGUGAGUAACACGUGGAUAACCUACCUAUAAGACUGGGAUAACUUCGGGAAACCGGAGCUAAUACCGGAUAAUAUAUUGAACCGCAUGGUUCAAUAGUGAAAGACGGUUUUGCUGUCACUUAUAGAUGGAUCCGCGCCGCAUUAGCUAGUUGGUAAGGUAACGGCUUACCAAGGCAAUGAUGCGUAGCCGACCUGAGAGGGUGAUCGGCCACACUGGAACUGAGACACGGUCCAGACUCCUACGGGAGGCAGCAGUAGGGAAUCUUCCGCAAUGGGCGAAAGCCUGACGGAGCAACGCCGCGUGAGUGAUGAAGGUCUUCGGAUCGUAAAACUCUGUUAUUAGGGAAGAACAAAUGUGUAAGUAACUAUGCACAUCUUGACGGUACCUAAUCAGAAAGCCACGGCUAACUACGUG
rnacentral:rRNA from 1 species